GCUACAGUGAAUGGAGAAAACACACAAUGUAGCAAGGACUGUGUAUUAGACCCAAACACAUUGCAAGAUUUAUGUAACAAUGUAAAAGUGUCAGACGAAGAGGACAACAAACUUCUUGUAUUGGCUAUAAGUGGAUGGUCAUUCUUUGUAAUACUUUUGGUGUUUGUUUGUGUCAUAGCAAUAAAGGAAGGAUUUGUUAUUUGUGAAGAUCGGCGUGAAAUCAGAUGCAACGCAGGGGAGGUUACAGAAUCACAAAAUGGUUCCCAAACAGCAUACGAAUCUUUAAGAAACGAUCAACGUACAGAAAUUGUUCAAACACACUAUGAACCUCUACAGAUUGGAAAAGGAAAAAUUGCAGAGUACGAGAAUGUUGUUUCGUAGAUCAUGUAAAAGGACAGAUUUUAAACUAAGUGCAUGUCCACUCGGAUGAAGAUACAUUCUAAAUAUUAUAUUAGAUCUACAUGUACUAAUAUUGUUGGAUGAUCACCAAACUUUGUCUGUAGCAAUUUUGGAGUUUUUUUUAUCAAGUUUGCUUAAAACAAUUUGAUUGGCCCCUGUUUGACGCAUCAAGAGAAUAAAAUAGAAAACACCUUUAAGUAGCUUUUCUAAAUAAACUGUAUGUAAUACU